AUGAAGACAAGCCUGGCUGGGACUGCUGGAGGACUGGAAACAGUGCUCAUAGCCAUGCAGUUGUCCCAGCCAACGGCCAAGCAACCCCAGAAACAUCACUGCUUGGCUGACCUACAGCUGACUGCAGAUACAGAAGAGGGCCAAGAUGAAACCCAAAUUGCCCAACUGAUUCCAGCCCGAAUUAUAAACUGGUCAAAGCCACUAAAUUUUGGACUCACUGGCCACACUUGGCCUGCCCCUCCGUCGCGUUCGCGGGGCGCUCCUGCCCACUCAGGCCCUGAGCGCGGGGACGCGCCGCGUUGCCGUAGAAAAGCCCGAGCCAGUGCGGCGGCACGCGGGGCGGGCUCUCAGGUUCCAGGAGGCGGUGGCUCGCGCCCUAACGCAUGCUCGGGCGCCUCUGAGCCCAGGUCGUUGGGCCCAGAUCGGGGUCUCUGGCCGUGCGCAAGGGACGCUCAAACCAGACAACUGCAAGAUGCUGUCACAAAUGUGGAGAAGCAUUUCGGAGAGCUGCGCCAAAUCUUUGCUGCGUAUGUGCGGAAAAUUGCCAGACUGCGAGACAAAGCUGACCUACUGGUGAAUGAAAUCAAUGUGUAUGCCUCUACAGAGACCCCAAAUUUAAAACAGGGCCUGAAAAACUUUGCUGAUGAGUUUGCCAAACUUCAGGAUUAUCGACAAGCAGAGUUAUAUUUUAUAAUAAUUUUCAAUAGGUUGAAAGACUUGAAGCCAAAGUAGUUGAACCUUUGAAAGCUUAUGGAACCACUGUAAAAAUGAAACGAGAUGACCUCAAAGCAACAUUAACAGCAAGGAGUCGAGAAGCUAAACAGUUAACUCAGAAAGAACACGUCAGGGAAACCCAUCUGAUCGACAUGUUAUAACCCAGGCAGAAACUGAAUUGCAGAGAGCUACAAUGGAUGCUACCCAAACAACUCGUCAUCUGGAGGAAACUAUUGACAAUUUUGAAAAGCAGAAAAUAAAGGAUAUAAAGACUAUAUUUUCAGAAUUUAUCACUAUUGAAAUGUUAUUUCAUGGCAAAGCUUUAGAGGUCUACACUGCUGCCUACCAAAACAUACAAAAGAUUGAUGAAGAAGAUUUGGAGGUGUUCCGAAAUUCUCUGUAUCCACCAGAUUAUGCAUCCCGUUUAGAUAUCGUAAGAGCAAAUUCAAAGUCGCCUCUUCAAAGAUCACUCUCAGCUAAGUGUAUAUCUGGAACAGGACAGGUAUCCACCUGUCGACUAAGAAAGGAUCAACAGGCAGAAGAUGAUGAUGAAGAGGAUGAAGACUUAGAUGUUACAGAAGAAGAAAAUUAAUUUUCUUAAGUAAACUUCACCUUUCAGUUUUCAUCUUAAAUGACUUGGAAUCCAGAAUUACUACACUAUAAAACUUCAUACUGGCUUCAUACACGUUAAACCUCAAAAUGAAAUCCUACUGGAAAUGAAAAUUAAAGGAAAUUUGUGCCGACCAAAAA